UACGUAGGGCGCAAGCGUUAUCCGGAAUUAUUGGGCGUAAAGAGCUCGUAGGCGGUUUGUCGCGUCUGCCGUGAAAGUCCGGGGCUCAACUCCGGAUCUGCGGUGGGUACGGGCAGACUAGAGUGAUGUAGGGGAGACUGGAAUUCCUGGUGUAGCGGUGAAAUGCGCAGAUAUCGGGAGGAACACCGGUGGCGAAGGCGGUCUCUGGGCCUUACCUGACGCUGAGGAGCGAAAGCUAGGGGAGCGAACGGG
rnacentral:rRNA from 1 species